GAUGAACGCUGGCGGCGUGCCUAAUACAUGCAAGUCGAGCGAAUCUAAGGGAGCUUGCUCCCAAAGAUUAGCGGCGGACGGGUGAGUAACACGUGGGCAACCUACCUGUAAGACUGGGAUAACUUCGGGAAACCGGAGCUAAUACCGGAUAACAUAUGAGACCACAUGGUCUUAUAUUAAAAGAUGGCUUCUUUCUAUCACUUACGGAUGGGCCCGCGGCGCAUUAGCUAGUUGGUGAGGUAACGGCUCACCAAGGCAACGAUGCGUAGCCGACCUGAGAGGGUGAUCGGCCACACUGGGACUGAGACACGGCCCAGACUCCUACGGGUGGCAG
rnacentral:rRNA from 1 species